AAAAGACAAACGACAGACAGACAGACAGACAGACAGUCAGUCAGUCAGUCAUGGCUGGCGGCGUUACUGUGAAUAUUUAAUGUUGUAUUGGGUUCAACAUGCGAACUGGCGAUGCUUUGUAACAUUGCUCAGUGGCUUUGUGAAACAGCUCUGUCCAGUAACUACUGACAACCUGCUACAUGUUGUUAAAUGAGCCGUGUGCAACGUAACCACAGACGGUAUCCUCACAUUCACGGCGACAGGCACCGGAGGCUAAAAGCGACAGACAGCUUCAUAAACUAACGUCACGUAUUAUUUUCUGCUCCCUUUAACGUCACCACAAGAUUUAAAUCACCUGACACAACGUUUCUGAUCAUGACCUCCAAGAGCAGCAGUAAUGAGGAGCAUGUGAAGGGAACAAGCUGCCACAUGACCUCUCCUGCCACAUGACCUCUCCUCUUUAAACACCACCUUUAUAAUAAUUACAAGUAAAUUACAUCAAAUAUAGACAGAUAAGGUGCACUUUCUACUUUUCAUUCCACCUCCAUUCCUUAAAGCCCUGCGUGAGCUCAGGUGAUGAAAAUCUCUUCUCAGAAUGUUUUAAUUAAAUUUUACACAGCCUUA